rnacentral:rRNA from 1 species
AUUGAACGCUGGCGGCAGGCCUAACACAUGCAAGUCGAACGGUAACAGGAAGAAGCUUGCUUCUUUGCUGACGAGUGGCGGACGGGUGAGUAAUGUCUGGGAAACUGCCUGAUGGAGGGGGAUAACUACUGGAAACGGUAGCUAAUGCCGCAUAACGUCGCAAGACCAAAGAGGGGGACCUUCGGGCCUCUUGUCAUCGGAUGUGCCCAGAUGGGAUUAGCUAGUAGGUGGGGUAACGGCUCACCUAGGCGACGAUCCCCUAGCUGGUCUGAGAGGAUGACCAGCCACACUGGAACUGAGACACGGUCCAGACUCCUACGGGAGGCAGCAGGUGGGGAAUAUUGCACAAUGGGGGAAACCCUGAUGCAGCGACGCCGCGUGAAGGAAGAAGUAUCUCGGUAUGUAAACUUCUAUCAGCAGGGAA